AUCGGUACAGCAUGGUACUUGGCUCUCACCCAGGAAGCCCGGGUUCGAUUCCCGGUGCCGGAA
rnacentral:tRNA from 1 species